GGUCAGGAACAGUUCUCUCCUAGUUCAACCGGAUGGCCUCCUUUUAUGAGGGUGAACCCUACCUUGGAUUGGUCAUACAGGGAUGUGUGGGCUUUCAUUUUAACCUGCAAGGUUAAAUACUGCAGUCUUUAUGAUCAAAGAUAUACUUCUAUUGGGAGCAUACAUGAUACUGUUCCAAAUGCAUUGUUGAGCAUGGCUGAUUCUUCAAGCACGAAAGAAAAUUUUAAACAUGCAUAUAUGCUAUCUGAUGGAAGACAAGAAAGGGCGGGGAG